AGCAAACCAAGUUCCACGUCGUAAAAGCAUGUGAGUGUCUGUAGAACAAGGACUUUCAAGUGAUUGGGGUGAGUUUUAUGGUCAAGCUACUAAGAGCAUGCGUGUGGAUGCUAGGGCACAAACAGGCGAUGAAGGACGUGGCCAGCUGCGAAAAGCUUCGGGGAGGUGCAAGCAACCUGUGAUCCGGAGAUGUCCGAAUGGGGGAACCCACCGAUUGCGAACAGUCGGUACCGUGCGCUGAAUCCAUAGGCGUAUGGAGCGAACCCGGGGAAGUGAACCAUCUCAGUACCCGGAGGAAGAGAAAACAACCGUGAUUCCGAUAGUAGUGGCGAGCGAACUCGGAAGAGCCUAAACCGUUCGAUUCGAAAGGAGAGAGCGGGGUCGUAGGAUCACAAUAAUACCCGGUCUUCAUUGGAGACAGUGAGGGACGGGGAUUAAACGAAUGAUAAGAGAGCGUUAAGAGAACGGCAUGGGAAGGCCGGCCAGAGAGGGUGACAGCCCCGUAUCUGAAAAUGCAAUCUUCGUUCCAGUGACUCCUGAGUACCGCGGGGCACGAGAAACCCUGCGGGAAUCCACCGGGACCAUCCGGUAAGGCUAAAUACUCGUUUGUGACCGAUAGUGAACCAGUACCGUGAGGGAAAGGCGAAAAGAACCCCUGUGAGGGGAGUGAAAUAGUACCUGAAACCGCAUGCUUACAAGCAGUGGGAGGGCCAUGUCGCAAGACAAGCCUGACCUCGUGCCUAUUGAAUAAUGAGCCGGCUAGU
rnacentral:rRNA from 1 species